rnacentral:rRNA from 1 species
AGAUAUUAAAUGUUAAAUCAUUAAAUUUAGGAGAUUUGGCGGUAUUUUAUGAAAUUAGAGGAACCUGUAUAUUAAUUGAUAUUCCACGAUAAGAAAAACUUAAUAUAAAAAUUUAUGUAUUGCUGUUUAAAGAUUAUUAUUAAUUAAAUUUUCGAGUUUUUAAAUUUUAAUUUAAUUCAAGUCAAAAUAUAGUUUAUUUAAGAUAAAUAUGGGUUACAAUUAUUUAAUAAUAAUGGAAAAAUAUUAUUUAAUUUUAUUUUGAAAUUGGAUUUAAUAGUAAAUUUAAUUAAUUAAUUAGUUUGAAUUAAAUUUAAAAUAAGU